CCUACGGGAGGCAGCAGUGGGGAAUAUUGGACAAUGGGCGAAAGCCUGAUCCAGCAAUGCCGCGUGAGUGAUGAAGGCCUUCGGGUCGUAAAGCUCUUUUACCAGGGAUGAUAAUGACAGUACCUGGAGAAUAAGCUCCGGCUAACUCCGUGCCAGCAGCCGCGGUAAUACGGAGGGAGCUAGCGUUGUUCGGAAUUACUGGGCGUAAAGAGUACGUAGGCGGUUAUUCAAGUCAGAGGUGAAAGCCCGGGGCUCAACCCCGGAACUGCCUUUGAAACUAGAUAGCUAGAGUCUUGGAGAGGUUAGUGGAAUUCCGAGUGUAGAGGUGAAAUUCGUAGAUAUUCGGAAGAACACCAGUGGCGAAGGCGACUAACUGGACAAGUACUGACGCUGAGGUACGAAAGCGUGGGGAGCAAACAGGAUUAGAUACCCUGGUAGUCCACGCCGUAAACGAUGAUAACUAGUUGUUCGGUCACUUGGUGACUGAGUGACGCAGCUAACGCAUUAAGUUAUCCGCCUGGGGAGUACGGUCGCAAGAUUAAAAACUCAAAAGGAAUUGACCGGNNGAGACGNGCGAGACGACGACGAGGAGAG
rnacentral:rRNA from 1 species